rnacentral:rRNA from 1 species
UACAGAGGGGGCAAGCGUUGUUCGGAAUUACUGGGCGUAAGGGCGCGUAGGCGGCCUUCUAAGUCGAACGUGAAAUCCCCGGGCUCAACCCGGGAACUGCGUCCGAUACUGGAAGGCUUGAAUCCGGGAGAGGAUGGCGGAAUUCCAGGUGUAGCGGUGAAAUGCGUAGAUAUCUGGAAGGAACACCGGUGGCGAAGGCGGCAUCCUGGACCGGCAUUGACGCUGAGGCGCGAAAGCCAGGGGAGCAAACGGG